rnacentral:rRNA from 1 species
UACGUAGGCAGCAAGCGUUGUUCGGAAUUACUGGGCGUAAAGAGUGUGUAGGCGGUGCUCUAAGUCUGUUGUGAAAUCUCCCGGCUUAACCGGGAGGGUGCGGCGGAAACUGGAGUGCUUGAGGGUGGGAGAGGUAAGCGGAAUUCCUGGUGUAGCGGUGGAAUGCGUAGAUAUCAGGAAGAACACCGGUGGCGAAGGCGGCUCGCUGGGCCAGAUCCGACACUCAGCCGCGAAAGCGUGGGGAGCAAACAGG